GUGGUUACUAGUUAAUGAGAACCUUCAAAAGAAAACAGGGUUAAAUUGACAAAGACUGUAAAAAAAAAAUAACUUUUUUUUCCCCUUUUUAAUCCUUUUUGCAAAACAAACUGGCGUUUCCCCUAUUUUCCCAACUUAUUUUACAGAAGUUAGCUGUCUCAGAAUGAGCAUGUGCAGACAGGCAAGAAGACAGAGUUUGGUAUAAAUAUACCCACCCUGUCAAAUUUUCAUUCUCAGGUGGUCAGCACAGGCACAUUAGUGCAGAAAAAGGGUAAAUCCUACUUUAGCCAGAGUUUGUUACAGGGCAGUAAGUAUUUAUCACUCAUCCCUUUAAGCUCGCUUUCCCAAUAAUGCAAAUGCAGGGCUACCUACGAACUUUGUGUUGCCUGUUGCACAUUUCUAUGAAAAACUGUGCUCUUGAUGCACAUGUAUAUCCUUUUCUUUCUUCUUCUUGAAAAAUCUAUCUAGACUUGGAGGGCUGUUACAGCAUAAGGAUUUGAUAUUUCUGGACUGUGCUCAACUUGGUAGAGGCACCAGGAGCUCCAAGGAUCCUCCUGAUCCUACAGAGAGCCCAGGGGAAGGCAACUGAGGGUAAGAGAAGUUAUGGUGGCAAAACACAGGAAGGGAAGACAACACAGCAUGCCACUUUUCAGUGGGAUGUUUAAUUGUAAGUUACAGGAUUGCACUCUCCUGCUACAUAUAAUGAAUGCUAUGUGUUCGUGUAGGAGUUUGAGUCAAACCUAA
rnacentral:lncRNA from 1 species